CUGCUGUUUUCAUUGGAAGAAAGAGUUCCACUGAAUUUCCGUGUAGAGUCUAUUCUCAAGAGACUUAUGUUUUCCAAACAUACUGUGUAGUGUGAUCAUUUGCAAUCUAAAUGGAUAAGAAAGAUACAGUUCAGGGCUGCUGGUUCAGGGCUGGUGGUGGUCAUACAGCCACUACAGACACCUGUCUUUAGUGCCCUCUUACAUUCUCAUGUUAACUGUCUAGACUGUCACUCACAUCUCCAGUGAAAACAGGAGCGACGACAGGUCUUUCUGAGUCAGAUGCUGAACGAAGCCUACGCAUUGUUAACAGGUUUUUCAUAGGAUUUUUGUCUCCAUCUUUUCAGUGUGCGGCCAAGGUUCUUUCUUCUAGGUGGUAACAGUUCCAGGUAUAUUCAAUUUAUGUAUUUAUCAUGUAUACACUAUUAUUAUGUGAAAACACGCUUCAAGUGCGGCCAUUGUGCAGUAUCUAUGUGUACUGACCAAGUGCCCCAUAUCAUUACAGUCCCUAGAAAGCAUUUUGGUACAUAUUACAUACUGUGUUUUAAUAUACUUAUAAAGUUAUACAAAAUCCUUUCCUUUUACCCAUGAGUUCCAUCUGUUUGGGUUUUUUGUUUGUUUGUUUUAUUGUUUUUAUUUUUGGUUGUUUUUUUUCUUCUUGAAAAAAACUGUAUCCUUUAUCAAAGGAUAAAGUUUAAUCCGUUUUCUAGUACCUUGCCCUUUGUUAAAAUAAUUGGGAUAUAAAUUGUUGAAAUCGCCACAAUUAAGAGUUUCAGAAAUGUGUGCUACUGGCCACUUGACUUAAUAAAGAUGAGAUAUAUUAACAGAUAGAACAAAAGUCUGUUUCCUCACUAAAAACAAUUGACUAUUUUUUUAAUUAGCAAAUAUUAGUAAUGGCCUAGACUAUUAAUAAUUUCUAUAUGUUGUGGAGAGCACAUAAUGAGACAAUGCUUAUUAUAGCAAGUCAGGUACCAUUCAGGUAAAUUAGGCAUUGUAAUUACAAUAGGACUGUAAUGUAUAGAAACUCAUUCUUCACAUUCCUUAGAGCUGCAACCUGAGACAGUUAAAGGGCCUGUAGUUCAACUGGGAGGUAUAGAUGGUAGUGGGCUGAGGAAGCCUGGCAAGGCAGGUAUACAGAGGGUGUACUGUCAAGCUGGCUAACACUGCAGGCUGCUAGAGCUGUAUUUCCGUUGUGUUACUGUGGAAAACACUAGAACACACGAUUCAGACAUACCCCAUGUGAGGAAGUGGGGUACAGAACUAGUCUGGGGGAGUGGUAGCUAUCUGUACAACUUGU
rnacentral:lncRNA from 1 species